UACGGGGGGGGCAAGCGUUGUUCGGAAUUACUGGGCGUAAAGGGCUCGUAGGCGGCCAACUAAGUCGGAUGUGAAAUCCCCAGGCUUAACCUGGGAACUGCAUCCGAUACUGGAUGGCUUGAAUCUGGGAGAGGGAUGCAGAAUUCCAGGUGUAGCGGUGAAAUGCGUAGAUAUCUGGAGGAAUACCGGUGGCGAAGGCGGCAUCCUGGACCGGCAUUGACGCUGAUGAGCGAAAGCUAGGGGAGCAAACGGG
rnacentral:rRNA from 1 species